CCAGAGCCACGUCCAGUCUGGCCUUGAAUGCCUCCAGGGACCUGGAGGAAGGAGGAAGGGACCUGAAGGGCUGGGGCUGCUUCCACCAGUGAGAAAACAGCCCUGGCUGCCGGGAAUGGGGCUGUGCAGCUGCCAUCACAUCAGAAAGCAGAGGGUUUGCUGCGUGCCAGGGUAAACGGGACACGGCACCAAAACAAACGGCUCAGGCUCAUUUUUUCGUGAACAGUUUUGAUGUCAUCAAAGAGAAAAAAAAAAACAUGUAAAACCAGAAAAAUAUCCACUUUUGACUUUGAUAAACAGUCUGUUCCCACGGGCAGGGAGUUUGUGCUUCUGCCUGCUCCAACCGCGAUGACGAUGAGGGACACAGACAAGAAGUGCCCCUUUAUAGGCUUAAAUGAGCACGGCUCAUACAGAGAAUUUGCUUUUACUCAUCUGGGAACGAGGCUUGUUCCACUGGCUCGUGCCUCCAUACAUCUCAGCCUCUAUCCAUCAGUCUCAUCACAUUGAUCACUGCAGAAAUAACGUUGGCACCACUGCCACAUACAGGCUUUAACAUCGUGCCCCACUCUUCCUAAAGUCACCUGGAUGCUUUUCAACGCAAACCAAUCUCUCCUGCUCCCCCGCACUCGGCGCAGCCCCACGGAUCACAGCCAGGAUCAGCAGCCGGGCGGCUUUGUGGCGGGGUCUCUGCGGGAACCCUCUUGCUUUUCAGGAGUUACACGAUUUCCCUUCACGCUGUGAGAAAUUAAGCCACUUUUACACUUUGCAGGGAUCCUCGCUCCCUCUCCGCCUCACGAGCGCUGCUGCACGCCUGCUGCCAGCAGCCUCCCACGUGCAUGCUCCAGUGCCAAGUGAGUUGGCACGCCCAUCUCUCUGAGCCGGGGGUUUGCUCUCUCUGCCCCCUCCCCAGCACCAUGCAGGCAGCUGGGGCUGGGCUGGAAACACCGAUGUUGACCAGCUGCCUGCCCAGAGAGCCAGUCCUGGUACUCAUACAGCACCGACAGCAUUUGCACAGUGCAGCACUGAGAGCACAACACGGCCAACCACGGGAGAAGUGCCCUAAAAGGUCGUUUCCCUUUGCCCUUCCAAAUUAUAUCCAUUACGAGCAGCUUUCCCCAUGGCAAUAGUUUUCCCAUUACUGCUCACUGACUGGAGCACAAUGAGAUGGGAUGCUGGUGCUGGGCUGCAGGGACGAGAUGCUCGAGGGCAGCCCUGCCUGCUCUGUGCAGGCCUCCAGCUCCUGUUUCUGCCCUGGUUUAUGAUGCCUGCAGCCCCAUGCCUGGACAUAGAGAUGUCCCACAUCCCAUGUCCCACAUUCCAUGCCCCAUGUUGCACGUCCCACAUCUCAUGCUGCUCGGAGCAAUGGGCUCUAAGCAAGCACACUGCAGCAGCACCGGCUGCAGGCUUCCUGCCCAGCACUCGCUGUCACUUCGCCUGCGCUUCUUGGCAAGUCAGCAGCAACACGGAUGACACUUGCCAUGCACACGUCAACAGUGUCACACGCAAUGACAUGCAAGCAGAGGACGAGCUGGAAAUGAGAAGCAGCCUGCGGUGCCAGAUGACAGAUCUCCGCAAAGUCGGGAGCUGGAGCUUGCUGCAGUAUUUGCACAGCUCACGUUUCUGCUCCCAAAAUACCACCUCCCAGCCAGAUGUCAACACAGAGAAAUGCUGCAAAGAAGCACAGCAAACAACACUGCUGUCCCUUCCCAGCUGCUGCUCUGCUUGGAACAAGGCUGUGCAGAGCCUGGGGCUCCGACCCUCCUGCACCACCAGCAUUCAGGUUCUGCAACUUUUCAUGACUUGCUGAGAUCCUCAGCAAAGCACCCAUCCUCCUUAGCCUUCCUUUCCCCAUCAGUGGACUGAAAAUAACAAUAUGCCUCAGCACUCCAAGGACAACUCUUCCAAAUCUCAGCUGAGGAUCUGAAAGUAAAGCCAUGAAAGCACAGCUCUGCGAGUCUACAGAUUUUAAAACGAGCUCACUGUAAUCUAGGACAGGUUUGGGGAUUCAGCAAAGUCUGUAUUUAAUGUAGACAGCAGUAAUAACACUGAAACCAUGCGUGCUCCCAGUGAGCUUCAGGACUCUCCUCCAAGGAGCUCCCAGCCCCAUUAAAUACCCUGGAGCAGCGUGCUCCCAGCAGAACUGAAACCCUCUGUCCCAUAAGCCAUGAUCAGGGCAGUUUGCAGAGCACCUGGCCCUGGGCUGAGCAGCAGCAGGUUCAGCACAAUGGCUUGGAGUCAUAAGCUCUGAGCAGGGGGAGAAAAGUCACCCAGCAGCACUGAGCAUUCCUGCAGAGCUGUGCCUCCUGACCUCCUUAAUCCCUGUUACACAAGCUGCGGGUGGCACAGCCCUGCAGCAGGUACUUGAGGCGCGUUGCUCGCGCUGUGCCCGGCUUUGCAAAGAGCGCAGUGAUGCAAUCACAAAGCUUCACGUGGGGAUUGAUGCUAACAGCACUGCUGCCAAGCACGCCUGGAGUUUGGCUUCUCCCAGCGUUGCAAAGGGAAAAGGGUCUUCUGCUCACUGUGCACUGCAACUGACAGACCUGCUCUUUGCUUCUCAUUACGUUAUUAAGACCAAGUUAAUGAAGACACGCAGACCUAAUGGUGCCCCACAUGCUUGCUCAGCAGCAGCAUCUGAAAGAUACCUGGAGCAGCAGUGCCAAGCACCUCCCAGAUCUGGAGAACAGGUCCUGAGGAUCUUGUAGUCAAAGGUUGUGCCCAUCACUCAUUAUUGGUCCCAUAGAAGUGAGCACUGAUACGGAACACCUCUUACAUACAGUUUCAACGGGUGAAACAGCACCCCUAAGAAGCAACCCACUCCCUCCCAGUAUGCUAACACACAUGGCAAAAAGCUUCUUGGUGUUCAUAGAGUCACAGAAUCAUUUGAUUUGGAAGGGACCCUUACAGGUCAUCUGGUCCCACUCCCCUGCAACAAACAGGGACACCCACAGCUCAACCAGGUCCCACCACCCCUCUGGGCAACCUGUGCCAGUGCCUCACUGCCCUUACUGGGGCACCCAGCAGAGUUAAGAUGCUUCAUGGAGCACACGGACAUGGCCUGGACACAGCAAGAGCCUGAGAUGCAGAGGCUCCGUGAUGUGCAGAAGAUGCUGAGAGAAGAGAGCACGAAGCGUGACCCCGGGCUGGGGAUGGGAAGUACCACGGGGCCCCAUGACUCAGAGCUAGAGCCGCAGAGUGCACCAAAAUGGGAAGGUGGGCAGGGGGUGCACGACAGCAAAGCAGGAAACAAAAACGAAAGCAGGAGCAGGAGAUUAUGCCUUUACUUAGCAAGGCAGCAUUUAAAAGUAUUUAUAUCAAUCAAGAGCUUAUUUAAACGAAGGGCUGAAAAUUGGGAUCAGCCAGAAAAGCACAACAAACCUGAGGCCAUUAGUCUGCAAGUGGGUCUCAAGGGCACUUGAGGGAAAGGAGUAAGUGGACCCCAACACUCUUGAGGAUCGCAUCUAUCCUGGGAGAAGAUUACGUGCUAAUAAAACACACUCAGCCAAUUCCCAUGGUUAAUCAUCUCUGUAAACGGAACGCUUCCGUUUGGCUGAAGGGAGAAGGCUUUUUUUCCCCUAUAUUCUCCCUUUUAAUAUACCAGAUAGAAAUAAUAAAUAACCCCGCGCAGUGCUUCCCUUCCGAAAAUACUUUGCUUAAUGACAAUGAUGGCUUCAGCCACUCAUCUUCUCACUACCUACAUUCCAGUCUAAAUUAGUCCUGUCCAGUGUCCAUAAAUAAAUCAGCUUAGGAAAGUCAGUGGAAAGAUAAUUCUGCCAGCAACCUUCAGAGGAUGCUGAUCCUGCUACGCUGCCAGCUCUGCUCGCGGGGGAAUUCUCCUGCAGCACACUCCAACUUUAAAAAGGCAUCCUACAAUUUAAAGGGAUGAUUUUCAUUUUCUGUUUAUUAAAAUAGUAUCCAGAAGGCAGUCAGACCAGACGCCCAAGCUUCUUACCAACUUAAGCUAAUGGAUUGUAUAAGCGCUAUUGCUUCCGAAUAGCAGGGCAGAGUGAAAGGUGUGAGAAGAUGGGCCAGGGACAAUGGUGAAUGGGUGGCAGGACUGGGGGCUGCACCACAAACAGCACUCUGUGACCCUCCAUGCGCCCGAGCCCUGAUUUACUGAUGGUUGUUAUGCCAACUUAUCCCACUUCUACUGCUCCUAUGAAAGUCUGUAAAACCGUAAGCCAAAAACAACAGUCCCAAAGCUCAGUGCAAAGAAGAAAAAGGGAAAGCCAAGGAAAUAUUACAGCAGCCAGGCUCUACAUGAUCUGGUCUGAUGCUGAAAGCAGCACACAGGCGGGGGGGGGUGGCUGGAAGAAUGAACAUCUCUGGGACAUGGGUGCCAGUCCCAGCGGGUGGCUGAGGAUGCUGCAGGCACUGCCAGGCUGCCCAGCAGCAGCACAGCGUGGGCAGCGCUCCCACCCGACUCCCACCCCAGGCAACUCAAGAUUUGGCAACUGUCUUUGCAAACCCACAAACAUGUAACAGAGAGGAUCAAGAUCAGCCCAGGGGUGCAAAGGUGGGGAAUGCAAACCCUCAGCUGUGUUCCCCUCUGCUGUGAGGCCAGCCUGGUGCCAGCACCUUACCAAGCACCUUUCUAGCAAAAAAACCCUUCCGCAGGCAACAGACCACAGAGCCCUGCCCGGUACAUCUACAUGGCACUGAGCAGCCCCCUGUAACUGCACGGUUUGCCACUGCUGUUGCUGGGCUGCACGGCUGUGUGCCUUCAGUCCCAGCCCUGCGGUCCCCAGCUGAUCGAAAUCUGCACUGCAACUGAGGACUGCGGUAUUUUUCCUUUUAGCCUCCCUCCUGCUUGGUAUAAACCAAUCCUUCAGUAAAGCACUUGUUCUAAACACCUGGGCACAGUUAAAUGCAUGGCUCAGCGCUGAAGCUCCUGCCUGGCUUCUUGCUGCUGUUUCAAGGGAACAAAGCAGCUGGAUUUAGCCCCGGGAGGAUGCACCAAGCUCCUGGAACAGCAGCUCUGUGCCCAGCAGUCCCCCCCCUUCACGACUGCACAAACACCAGUGGCUAUUGCUCAGCACAGCCACAGUCCCUUUGUGCUGCCCGGGCUGCUCAGGAAGGGUUAACACCGCCUGCAGCAUCAGCCUGCCCUCUGGUAUGGCAGCCAGUGAGCGCGGCUGCGGGUGACGUAAUGCCCGGCUGGCUGCGGGAUGCGCAUCGUGUCCUGCAUCCCGUCCUGCACCAUGUCCCGCAUCCCAUCCUGCAUCCUGUCCUGCUGGGGGGGCAGCCAGGGACCCCACUGUGCCAGGCACCUCAGUGUUCCCAGCCAGGCAGGGGCCAGCCCCUGGUUUUCCCAGCUGAAUUCCCAGCGCUCUCCGAGCAGAGGUUGCUGUAAAUGAGCAUUACCAGCUCUGAAAGCAUUUGCAAGUUUACAGUGAUUGCCACCGCGCAGCUCUGCGGGUUCACCCCCGCAGCCUCUCCUCUUGCAGCUGCCAGCACAGCGCAUGUUCUGGCUGCAAAAAUCCUUGUUUUGGCUCUGUGGCCGUGGCCAUGUUCGGGCUGCUCAGGUUUGCAAAUCCCCCUCUGAAAUCCCCAUUUAGUUACAAACGUCAGGGACACGGCUGGGUGGCCCCUCGGAUGCAGGCUCACUGCAUGCAGGUUCUAUAACUUGCCCUGGAGUCUCCACACCACAAUUAACAGUGACCACCAGGACAAUGCUCCCUUUUGCCUGCAGCAUCUCAAAUCUCCUCUGGUAGCAGCCUGCGAGCAGAGUAGGUCCUUCCAGCCCUCUGGAGUCACGCUGCCCUCUAAGGAGAAAGCGACUCACUCCUCUUUGAUGUGUUAAAAGAGGAAAACAAGUGAGCAGGAGGCACCAAACAGCCAUCUUGUUAAGCCCAGACAGCUCUUCCAAUUUCGUUUUGGAGCUGUUUAUCACCUCAUAAAAGCCCGAUACCCAGCAGACAAGAUGAAGACCAGAAAGCUGAUGUUCCCGUCUCUCUCACGGUUAUAUUCCAAGCUAAAUCUCCCUGAGAUUCAGCUCAACAGAUGAAUUAUUCAGGUCUCAGCUCUGAUUCCAGCAACAGAGUGCAGCUGUUUUUCUGCUUGACCAGAGCGUGGCAGCGUCUGGAUCGGGAGCAAAGUAACACAGCUCAGGGCUGCUACCAGACAAGGCAGGGAGACUUAUAUGUAUGUUUGCUGGAGAUAAAAAGACAAAAAAUAUUGCUUCUUCAUGCCACUUCAGCCAAGAUACUAACAUUAAAGCAUCUGGAAUUAAUUAUCUCAGGCAGACAAUGCUUCCACAAUUAUUUCGAUAAUACAAACAGCACAACUUUUAUUUCUAGCCACCUACUGAUGGGGAGCAGAGGAAGAUGCCGUGAGUGACAGCAGCAGUCUUGCAUCUGCUGUUCUGCAAGCAGGAGUUUCCCAGUCCCAAAUCCCAAACCCACCCCACGUGACCACCAAGGGAGUGCAGCUGAAGCUCGGACCAAAGCUGGGGCACAGGGAUGAGCGUCCCCAUGGUUAGCACGGUGUGGGCACACAGGUCUCCUCUGUGCACAAACCCACUCAAGUGGAAGCAAGGCUUUGAGCAAUCUGAAUGGGCAGCAGCCAGACUCUGCAAUGCACUCUGAAUCACUGCUUUAACACUGAACCCUGGAACACAGGAGGAUGGUUCCAGCACUGUGACACCAGAGGCAGCGGGUGGCCAGGAGGAAACUUCUGCCUUCCCACCACACUGCUGCGAAGCAACACGUGCCUCAGUGCGUCUCCAGAUCUUCUUUGAAUCCACUGCAAAAACUCCAGCCUACUACCAGCACUCCCUCAGCUCAGCCAGGUGCCAGGGGCACGGUCCUGCAGGCUUAGCUCAGCUCACACGAGUGCAGCUCUCACCUUGGUACCAUGGGAUUACCAACAGCAGCACCAGGCACAGAGCAGCUGAUCCCAUCGUCACCGCUGCUGGACCGUCCCAGCCCUCUCACCAUUCUGAGGGGCACUUGAGAGCUUCUCAUCUUAUUCAGCAGGGAUGCACAGUGCACUAAUCCACAACGAGGGGAUGUAAUUACUGCAGCAGAGCUCAGACCGGCUUCUGGGUGGGAAAGGGAUGAAGGAGAAGAUGGAGACGGGAGGUGAUGGAGUGAGAUGCAGAGGCUACAUGGAGCACCCUAUGGGAGGUGGAAAUCAGCCUGCUCCUUCCAUACAUCUGCUGCUGGGAUAUGCCAGCAAAAACCACAGACAUCCACAGGGAGAAUGAGCAAACGUUUUGAACAGAGGUCCAAGUGGCUCAGCACUAGGUAAGAACGUGCUGGAUUAACACAUUUCCCAUAGCAAGCUAAUAAAGGUGAGGACUCACUGAAAGCAGACUCAAGGAUUUGUCAAGCAGGCUGUAAAGCAGAAAUGAUUAGAACUAACAGAGGAAGGCAAUCAUGCUCAUUCCCCCUCCAAGCCCUGGAUACGAAACCAGCACUGCGCCCCAGCCCCUGCUGAUGCUCCUGUGCUUUUCUCCCAUGGGGGUACCCCAAAACCUGAUGUCUCCACUGGGGCUGCAGCUCCAGAGAGAGGAACCCGCUCACAUAGACCUGAUGGAGUCCUGAGCUCACACAAUUUCACCACAAGCUGGAAGUGGGUGGGAAAAACAAACAAACAACAACAACAAAAAAAACCCAGGCAUCUCAUGUUAAAACAACAGCGCAGCUCCAAGAGAUACACAGACUGCUGCAGAAUCUUGCCUGCCCCUUCUGCAGCAAAGCCCGAGGGAAGCUGCCGAUGAGUCAACAGGCAGCAGGCAGCCGGCUGCAGGAGGGAGGGAGGGAGGGAAGGAUGGGAGGAAGGAGGGAAGGAAGCACAGCCCCGGCUGGGACGCAGUGUGCUGGCUCCACACUCCAACAGAACUGCGGGAGAUGCUGGGGCACCUCCUGGCUUCAACACCUGGCAGCCCCACACCUGGCCCAGGGCUCCCACGGCAGCACCACGCAGCGCAGCCAGAGCUCGGCUCCACCUGCAGCUGUGCUCCUGGAAGAGAUGGGACAGAGGGAACCGAAGGGGACGGUCACAUCGCUGCCCAGACGGUGUGGCAGCCGUUCACCCCCGCCAGCCGACCCCCCACCACGGCUUGUGCCUUCCUGUUGCCACGGCACUUUCUGUUUUCUGUUUGAACAGGGCCACAGCAACGAUGCAAGGAGAGAUCUGCGACGCCAAGAAUAUCUGGGAACCCUGCCAGCAAGAAGCAGCCUUCCUGCUCGUCCUCCCGCUGUGUGCACAUUCACAGGAAGCGGAGUAUACAGCACAUACUGAUGGAGCUUAAUGCGAGCUCCCAGAGCCGCCUCGAGCUUUUAGAGCCAAGCUUUGCCCUUCAGGCUGUGGGCAAUUCCCAAGCAAGCUGCUGCAUAAAAUGAACCCUGCUUUUAAGCAGUGAUGACUCAGAAUUGUGGAGAGGAAGCACGUGAUGUCCCGCACUGCCCAGCGGCCCUGCUGUGCAGGCAGCACCCGCGUGGCUGGUGGCAUCCAGCCCUGGGCACCAGAGUGCAGUGACACGAGGCCAAAGGAUGCUCUUCCUCUGUGGUUCACACCAGUCUGCAAAGGACCCCGUGUUAAGGUGGCUCUCGGCGAAGGCAUUUCCAGGCAGCUGCUUUCUGAGGAAAGCAUGCCUUAAGAGAAAGCAUUUUCCUCCUGCUUCACCCACAGCUUUGACAUUUUAGAGCUCCAGCAAAAUAAAACGUUUCAAAAUCUCA